UGGGUGAGUAACACGUAUCCAACCUGCCGUCUACUCUUGGACAGCCUUCUGAAAGGAAGAUUAAUACAAGAUGGCAUCAUGAGUCCACAUGUUCACAUGAUUAAAGGUAUUCCGGUAGACGAUGGGGAUGCGUUCCAUUAGAUAGUAGGCGGGGUAACGGCCCACCUAGUCUUCGAUGGAUAGGGGUUCUGAGAGGAAGGUCCCCCACAUUGGAACUGAGACACGGUCCAA
rnacentral:rRNA from 1 species